GAUGAAGAACGCAGCGAAAUGCGAUAAGUAAUGCGAAUUGCAGAAUUUCCGUGAGUCAUCGAAUCUUUGAACGCACAUUGCGCCCAUUGGUAUUCCGAUGGGCAUGCCUGUUCGAGCGUCAUUUCAACCCUCGACCUCCCUUUGGGGAAGUCGGCGUUGGGGACCGGCAGCACACCGCCGGCCCUGAAAUGGAGUGGCGGCCCGUCCGCGGCGACCUCUGCGUAGUAAACCAACUCGCACCGGAACCCCGACGUGGCCACGCCGUAAAACACCCAACUUCUGAACGUUGACCUCGAAUCAGGUAGGACUACCCGCUGAACUUAAGCAUAUCAAUAAGCGGAGGA
rnacentral:misc_RNA from 1 species